UGGUUUAAAUAUGUUCAUUAUGACAUAAUAUAUAUAUUCACAAAGUUUUAUCGGUAUAUGUGCAGUGAUAAAAGAGAAAUUCAAUAAUUAAUGAAAAAAUAUUAACUACUUCCUGUAGGUCGUGACGUUUUCUCCUGGUUUUUGCAUGCCGGGAUUUAAAAUACAAUCAUUAAAAGUCUUGGUUUUUAAUCAUAUUUUACCGUUAUCGUAAGCGUGCCGAUGACUAAUGCUAUAACGAAUAACCAUCCGAUAACAAGAAAAUAAAACGCACAGUCGUGCAGUUGUACACAUUCACGAGUAAAAUUUCUAUAUUUACCGUAUAUAUUUCGAAUUAUUUUUGUAGACAGCAC
rnacentral:lncRNA from 1 species